UCGUCCAAGAGUAAAAAAUCACGUUUAAUCCACCAUUUUUAAGCUUUUCACGUUUAAUAAAACCCACCAGGUGUUCUCAUCGAUGGAUACACACAAAAUUGGAUCAAAAGGGGUGAUUACCCAGAACUGUCUCACCACUUAAAGGUCAAAAUUAAUUAUUCAAUCUCAUCGGAUUAAAGCGCCACACAUCAUAAAAUUAUAAAUAAACGUCUAAUUAAAUUUA